rnacentral:rRNA from 1 species
AUUUACUUUAAAUUUAAAGAAUUUGGCGGUAAUUUAGUCUAGUCAGAGGAACCUGUUUAUUAAUCGAUAAGCCUCGCAGCAUCUUACUUAUUUUUAAAAAUUAUUAGUUUGUAUACCGUCAUUAUCAGGUAAUUUUAUUAAAGAAUAAAUUAUUAAAAUUAAUAUUAUUAUAGAAAUUAGAUCAAGGUGCAGCUUAUAAAUAAGUUGGAAUGGGUUACAAUAAAAUUUUAUUUAUAACGGAUUUAGUUUUGAAAGAUAUUUAUAAAGGAGGAUUUGAUUGUAAUGUGGAUUUAAUAAGUCUGCAAGAUAUUAGCUCUAAAUUAUGU